ACCAGCGGCGAUAGCACGUUGAAUGCUCCAGUUUCCAUGGUUCACGGAAGUUAAGCAACGUUGUGCUUGGUUCUUAACUUGGUAACCGGAUGGGGGACCAUCUGGACAAUCGCCUGCUGCUAGAU
rfam:Asian citrus Psyllid, Diaphorina citri - Florida Strain, whole genome shotgun sequence.